GCGCCCGUAGCUCAGCUGGAUAGAGCACCAGACUACGAAUCUGGGGGUCAGAGGUUCGAAUCCUUUCGGGCGCG
rfam:Chelatococcus sp. CO-6, complete genome.